AUAUCACAUCUGAGCUUGCAGGAAACUAUUACUGCCAAGCACAUAAUGCAAUCGGACAUCAUGACUCCACAUUUUUGAUAAUUAAAGUUUGUAUUCAGGGUUUGAAAUCGACACCAUCACCAUGGACAACAACAGUAGCUGUGAGAGGCAUUGUUGUCCUACUGUCCACCGUACUCCUCCUUGUAUUCCUCUGGAUGAGAAGAAAGAGGGCCUCCAGUAAAGCAUGUGGACAGGGAGGAAGGCCAGAUACCGUGGAGGAG